UGCAGUCGACGGCAGCACGGGCCUUCGGUCUGGUGGCGAGUGGCGAACGGGUGCNNUUAUGCAUCGGAACGUACCCGGGAGUGGGGGAUAACUAUCCNAAAGGAUAGCUAAUACCGCAUAUUCUGUGCGCAGGAAAGCAGGGGAUCUUCGGACCUUGUGCUCCCGGAGCGGCCGAUGUCAGAUUAGCUAGUUGGUGGGGUAAAGGCCUACCAAGGCGACGAUCUGUAGCGGGUCUGAGAGGAUGAUCCGCCACACUGGAACUGAGACACGGUCCAGACUCCUACGGGAGGCAGCAGUGGGGAAUUUUGGACAAUGGGCGCAAGCCUGAUCCAGCCAUGCCGCGUGAGUGAAGAAGGCCUUCGGGUUGUAAAGCUCUUUCGGCCGGGAAGAAAUCGUACAGGAUAAUACCCUGUGCGGAUGACGGUACCGGCAUAAGAAGCACCGGCUAACUACGUGCCAGCAGCCGCGGUAAUACGUAGGGUGCGAGCGUUAAUCGGAAUUACUGGGCGUAAAGCGUGCGCAGGCGGUUUUUUAAGAUAGGCGUGAAAUCCCCGGGCUCAACCUGGGAACUGCGCUUAUGACUGGAAGACUAGAGUAUGGCAGAGGGGGGUGGAAUUCCACGUGUAGCAGUGAAAUGCGUANAGAUGUGGAGGAACACCNAUGGCNAAGGCAGCCCCNUGGGCCAAUANUGACGCUCAUGCACGAAAGCGUGGGGAGCAAACANGAUUANAUUCCCUGGUAUCCACC
rnacentral:rRNA from 1 species